rnacentral:rRNA from 1 species
UACGGGGGGGGCAAGCGUUGUUCGGAAUUACUGGGCGUAAAGGGCGCGUAGGCGGUCAGACCAAGUCGAGUGUGAAAUUCCAGGGCUUAACUCUGGCGCGCUCGCUCGAUACUGGUCGGCUAGAGUGUGGAAGAGGAUGCUGGAAUUCCCGGUGUAGCGGUGAAAUGCGUAGAUAUCAGGAGGAACACCUGCGGUGUAGACGGCUUACUGGACCAUAACUGACGCUGAGGCACGAAAGCGUGGGUAGCAAACAGG